ACGGCACAGGAGCUCUUCUUCAUUUUGUUCCUCAUUUCUCCAAGCUCAACAAUCAGACCCUUACCCCUUAACGGCGCUCCAUCGCUGCUACCUCCUCCUCCAUAUCCAGACCCCUCAUCUCCCAUAAUCAAAAGCACAAAAACACCAGCCCUUCUUCUUCGCAGGGAACCUUAGGACCUAGGAAGCUAAGAGUUUACCCCAUUUCCUUUGACAAAGAGCAGCGAUGCUCAAAAGAAAAAAAAUAUAAAAAAAUCAGCCUCUUUAACUUAUCCUCUCACUCUCAACACGCCUACAUACAGUUGUUGAAGCUUAAGAAUUUCUAUAACUCAACUUCAAACUCCUUAGAAAGAAGCAAUCAAAUGUCGGAUUUGAAAUCACAUAGCCGAUUUAGUAUUUCAGCCUUUCUUCUUCAUAAUCUCUGUGGUUUUCAAGGUUAUUAGAAGCUAUAGAUGAGCUGCUUGUUUAUCAAUUUGGACUGCACUGGUUGCUGAGUUUCAAAUUUCUGUAUCUCGCCUUUAUCCAGUCCUUUAAGCUGGUUCUCGCAUAACCAGAUCUAGUGUUUCCGGGCACGGUGGGUGUUGAUUCCUUUGCACAGUUGAUCGUUUGGAGAUUCAAAGGUAACUUCUCGGAGUUUCGUAGACCUUGUCUCUCCUUCCUUAUCUUUACGCUUUUUGUAUUUAGUUUCAGACUAUUAUAGACAGUACUUCAAGAUUUGUGAUGUAUAGACGCUCAUGUACUUAGUAACACCUCGAUGCUGGGAAUUUUUAUAUUGGGUGACCUUC